GAAGCUUCCCAUUCCAGUUGCCCACCUCUUGUAACUCCUGAAAAGUAUCUUAAAGAGCUGAGAGGGAGGAAGGUUCAUGGUGAACUUUAUAGAUUGUGAUGUAGAGAUUUGCAGAGGAACGGAUCAUAGCCAAAACUGAACACAGAAUCCAUGUCCCCUGUAUUUUGACUAUAUUUGAACUGGAAGUAUAUGAUACAUUGCACUGGAGGACCUAGAGAGGACCACAAAAAUGCCUAUGGGCUUGUUCCUUGAGCUGUUUGGGGUGUUGAUUGAGAAACGGCAUUGGAUAAGCUGCAUGAGCACUAGCUUCUUAGGAAGGAAGGGAGAAAACUGGCAUAGCUCAUGGACAAAGCAAGGAGUACUUCCCUAUAUCAUUGGUGGAGAUGUGUGCAUUCCCUUUCACUUGGUCUAUCAGCCAAUGCUGACUUACCCAGGUAGUCACC